AGCAGCAGCCGCGGUAAUACGAAGGGGGCUAGCGUUGUUCGGAAUUACUGGGCGUAAAGCGCACGUAGGCGGAUAUUUAAGUCAGGGGUGAAAUCCCAGAGCUCAACUCUGGAACUGCCUUUGAUACUGGGUAUCUUGAGUAUGGUAGAGGUGAGUGGAAUUCCGAGUGUAGAGGUGAAAUUCGUAGAUAUUCGGAGGAACACCAGUGGCGAAGGCGGCUCACUGGACCAUUACUGACGCUGAGGUGCGAAAGCGUGGGGAGCAAACAGGAUUAGAUACCCGGGUAGUCCCUGUCUCUUAUAA
rnacentral:rRNA from 1 species